rnacentral:rRNA from 1 species
AUUGAACGCUGGCGGCAGGCCUAACACAUGCAAGUCGUGCGCGCGGCGGAAGGGCGAGUAAUGUAUGGGCAUCUUCCUGAUGGCGGGGGAUCACUUCUGGAAACGGUAGCUAAUACCGCAAACCCUCAGAUGAACCCAUAUGGGAUUAGCUUGUAGGUGAGGUAACGGCGCACCUAGGCGACGAUCCCUAGCUGGUCUGAGAGGAUGAUCAGCAAACCUGUGACUGAGAAACGGCCCAGACUCCUACGGGAGGCAGCAGUGGGGAAUAUUGCACAAUGGGCGAAAGCCUGAUGCAGCCAUGCCGCGUGUAUGAAGAAGGCCUUCGGGUUGUAAAGUGCUUUCAGUAGGGAGGCGUUACCGACAGAAGAAGCACCGGCUAACGCCGUGCCAGCAGCCGCGGUAAUAC